GGCCCUUCUCAUGACAGUAGUAGCGUUUUCUAUUUUCAAGGUCUACUCGUGGUCUCAAGUUCGAUUUACUAUUUAUUUUCCAAUUGUUUCUAUGUGGAUUGCUUAUACCACGACUAUAACCAACAAUAAAAGCUCCACUUUCAUUGCUACUGCCUAUCUUAUUGAACUUCUCAACGAUUAGGGUUGUCACCAAUCUUUAUAAGAUUGUGGAAGAGAGGUUAAAAGCAAG
rnacentral:misc_RNA from 1 species